UACAAGCAUACAUCCCAGGACUCCCAU
rnacentral:piRNA from 1 species